rnacentral:rRNA from 1 species
UACGAAGGGGGCUAGCGUUGCUCGGAAUCACUGGGCGUAAAGCGCACGUAGGCGGAUUGUUAAGUCAGGGGUGAAAUCCUGGAGCUCAACUCCAGAACUGCCUUUGAUACUGGCGAUCUCGAGUCCGGGAGAGGUGAGUGGAACUGCGAGUGUAGAGGUGAAAUUCGUAGAUAUUCGCAAGAACACCAGUGGCGAAGGCGGCUCACUGGACAGUUCCUGACGCUGAGGCACGAAGGCCAGGGGAGCAAACGGG